rnacentral:lncRNA from 1 species
UCAAUUGCCUAAAGCAUAUGCAUGCAUCAUGUUUAUAUGUAAUAGGAUGUUUGCACUAGUUUCACGAAUAUGACGCAUUGCAUAAAUUGCUGUGUAUAUGAUGUGAUGGGUGGACCAAGGCGACCUCGAUAGCCCACAAGUCUGUCAAUGAGUCUUUGUCAGUCGGGCAAGUACAUGUAGGAAAGCCCUAUGAGAGCUCCUUCGGGGCCAAGUUUUGACAGAGGGAAUGUUGGGGUCAUGUCUAACCCUGAGGGGAAGGACGUUUCGAGAACCCUCUAAAAUCACCCGCAAGAGGAAGAGAUUUGCUAGCGUGAACUCAAGCGGGGAAGAAAUGUUUGAUGUGUAUUCGUUGUGAUAUGACGCAUUUCAUGAAAGCAUGAAAUAAAAGUAAAAAUAAAAUAAAAUAAAUAAUGAAUAAUAAAAUGAAAUCAUAAUUAAUGAACUGUUUUCUCUGUUUCUACUCACUGGGCUCUUGUAGCUCACCCCAUUCCCUUAAUCCCAGUUUUGCAGGGCCAGAGUAAGUGAGCCAGAGUAAGUCAGAUAGAGCUAUGGGAAAGAAGAGGUUCAAGCAUGGGUUGCCAUGUUUGGUUGUAAUAGCUUAGCUAUGUUUUGUGUAUGUUUAUGGUUAUAGUGGAUGUUAUGUAAGGAAGUUGUUAAAGAGAUGAUAUGUUAUGUAAUGCUAUGUAUGUUUUGUAUGCUUGUUUAGCUUAGUAAUGGACAUGAUAGAUGGACUUGAUGUAUGGUCCUUAUGUAUAUAAAGAAUAUGAUGAAUGGAAAGAGUAAUGAGUAUGUUAUAAAAGAUAGAGCCAAGCUAAGAAAAGUAUGUGAGAUGUAUAGUAUAGAGUUGUGCCUUGCCUAGUGUUGGUAAAUCCCUUGGUUUUGCAGGAUCAAUAUGAAAGUUAAAGAAAUGUUUUAAGAAUGUUUUCAAGUUAUAUGAAAUGUUUUAAUGGUUUGAAGUAUGUAUGGCCGUGAGGGAAGAAAGGGUCUCAAUCCCUUGACCCAAAGCGGAUAUGUUUUUACAGCUAGCUUGAUGACUCAUCUAGUAUGAAGUUCUAUGUUUCUGUACAUAGGUCAAGCUGAAGUAAAGAAAAAGUUUAAAGGUUUUCUGAGAAAGCUUAAGUUUUUAUGAAAAUGCUGAUCUUGUAUGGGAUUGUACCUAGAGUUCAGGAUGUCUAGAGGCUUACUACGGGUCCCGGCGGCCUUAAGCCGAUCUGGAUCCUAGUGCCGAGCAGUUUGGGGCCGUUACAAGAGGUGUACCGGUUUCCGGGUUGUUACAGCCCUAGUCUCAUCACGUUGGCAGCAAGACUCCUUCAAAGCAGACAACUUUGCUAAGGCUUCGUCUCGCUGAGACUCUGCCGCAAAAGCCCGCUGAGAAGCCUUGCCGUCUUCUUCCUUCAUGUCUCCUAGCCGUUUUGUGAGGUCCUCAAUCUGGUUUUGAAACUCGAUGAUAUACCUGCAGGCCCCACCAGUGGCCACAAUGUUCUCCUUACAGUGCGCCUCGGCAAUGUGCUGGUCCAUUGAGCUCUAGAGAGACUAGUCCCGAGCAUCAAUCUCCAUGAACACACCUAACGCCUGUCAAGGGAAGUAGGGGUGAGCAUUCGGUCGGUUCGGUUCAAAACCAAACCGAACCAAAAAAACUGAAAAUCGAAUUGUAGUAUUUACACAAAUCAAACCGAACCGAAUAAGAGGAAUAACCGAAUUGAAUCAAACUGAUUUGGUUCGGUUCGAUUCGAUCGGUUCAAUCGGUCGAACCGAUUGAGAACAACCAAGUUGCUUACGGCGCGGAGAGCCGAUGGACUGGAGAGCGACGACCGACGCCGACGAUUGCGUGGAGGCCGCGAAAAGGCUCUUCUUGCAUGCAACACAUCAGAAAGCGAAAAAAAUGUCAACUACACAAAGAAGCAAGUACUGGGAGAUAGGAUUUGGGUUAGAAGCUAGAGAAAUUGAAAAAACCUUAGGAGAAAACUACAAAUCCACCAGUGACAGAGACAUGUCAACAACACAAAGAAGCAAGUACCGGGAGAGAGGAUUUGGGUUAGAAGCUAGAGAAAUUGAAAAAACCUUGGGAGAAAACUACAAAUCCACCAGUGACGGAGACUCUCUGAGCGCGACACUGAGAUGAGGAGGAGUCGGCGUUGCUAACUAAGUCGCGACUCGCGCAUCCGCAACGUAGUGAAGAUCGAUGACCCAAGUUAGCCGCGAUGGUUAAUCGGUCGAUGUCGAGAGGAGAGUGGAGAGAGAGACUAGAGAUCGAUGACCCGAGUUAGCCGCGAUGGUUAAUCGAUCGAUGUCGGGAGGAGAGUGGAGGUCGGACGGAGGAGAGUGGAGGUCGGACGGUGGACAGUGGACCUGCUGGAAGUGGUGGAGCUCAAUGCUCAGAGAAGAGGCACAGGCAUGUGUGAUGUGAGGCGGCGUGGAAUGGAUAGCGUGAACUCUCAGCUUUUAGAUUUAGGGCAAAUAUAAGGGUACACUUCAAAACGACGUAGUAUAGGUGAUUUCGGUUCGGUUCGGUCUAAUCGAAAUUUUUGAAUCUAAAACCGAACCGAACCGAAAUCACCAAUUUUUUAGAAAAUUAAACUCGAACCGAACCGAAUUAAAAAUAAAACCGAAUCAAAUUUUUGAUUCGGUUCGGUUCGGUCGGUUAUUUCGGUUUAAACCGAAUAGUGCUCACCCCUAAAGGGAAGGCAACAAACAAUGUUAUAGAGAGACUAAAAAAUAGAAAUGCAUUUAAGAAAAGCAGAUGACUUACCAUGAGGAGCAUUUCCCUCAGGCUAUCCCCUAAGUCCUUCUGAGACCGUGAACUGAAGGUCGCCUGCUGUUUGGUGGAGCAGGCAAGAUGGUUGGCAAGAGCGAGGAAGCAGGAAUCAGAAACAUCAACCCCCCCCCUCCCGAACAUCUUCUCCCGCAGCAUCUCAGCCACAAAAGCUGGAGUAGACUCAACAGUCACCUCAGUGGCACUUAACAGCUCGUUGUUUAGGGCAGACGCUAGGUGCUCCACCGCUUUCUUCCCUUUGUCAGCUGAAGGAGAGGGGGGCUGCCUUUGCGGGUUCAGGAGUACAAGUGCAUUUAGCAGCCCUGCCUUCAGUUGUAGUCUCGGUAGUUCGGGUUCGCUUGGCAGCCUGGCCUCCAAUUACGACGGCCCGUACGUCCUGGAUAAGCGGGAUAUCCAAAGGAGCCGCUCCGAUACCUUUUUCUAAGCUACUCCCCACAGACUGACUGAGUGUAAUAGGCUCCCUGGUGGCUUUCUGGGGAGCAGGGAGAGUCUCGACUGAAGCCAAGGCUUUAGCAGGGACAAAGGUCCUAGAUGCGGCAGAGAGAGAGCCCUCGGCCAUAGGCACCAGAGCCCAAGAAGGUGCCGAGAUAGGAGUAGCAUGGCGAACUGCGGGUGUAGAGUCGGCGGUGUGGAAAACCUCGCGAGUCACAUCGGCCAUGAACUUGUUGGCCUUGAAGACCGCCAAGGUCUCCUUCAUACUCUUCCGGGAUAGGGUAAAAUUUUUGGGUAGUCUAAUCUUGUCCAUGGGCACAUUAGAAGCUAAAAAAAGAAACACCAACCCAGUUAAAAUUCAGAGCCACGAGAAAAAACACGACAAGAAAGAAAAAUAGAGAAAUAACAAUACCAGCUUCCCGGCAAUCCUGAAAGCUAGAUAUAAACAUACACUUUUCGACAUUGUACUUCCUCGACACAGAGAUUAGUCGAAGAAGGCAGAUUUGGUCUACCAUAUUUAAUCUAGAAAAGUUGUUGUAGCCCUAGGGAAUCUCCUCCCAAAAAAGAUCGACAUCCUAGCUGAUCUCCGAGCUUUCUUUCAACUCGACUACCACAAAAACGUCAGCCCAGCCUUAGAGUGAGUCCUUGUACCCCGUAAAUAUAGACAACCCAGCUCGGGGACUAAAGUAGUAAAACCCAUGGUUGGACCGGACUAGGUGAAAGAAGGUACAGAAGAUCUCGAUGAGGAAAGGGGUGAAGGGGAAGGUUAGUCCUAAGUUGCGUUGCUUGACAAAAAAGACUAAACUAUGCUUCUAUUGGGCGUCUAUUAGACCUGCCAGAGGGGGAUUAGGAAGUAUGAUCCUCUCAUUAGGAAGAGGGGCCCUAAUUCUAUAGACGAUGGUGUCGACAUAGUCGCUAGAAAAAUAAUGAGAAAGGGAAGAAGGGGUGACAUAAGAGACCAGACCCGUGACAUCAAGAAUCUAGCGGGAUCCAUGAAGGAGUAAGAUGUACCUCAAAUUGAAAAAAUGAGCGUUACAGAGAAGAAAGAGAGCAAGAUAGCAGAAGCAGCGCAAGAGGAGGAGUAGCGAGUGAAAUUAGAAGGGAAAGUUUGAAAUGGGCAAAGGCGAAGAAAAGAUGUUUUGAUGAAAGAGUUCCUUAGAGCCGCGCGGUAAUAAGCGGGGCAUCGGGAUUUCCCUCCUCGUUAAUUAUGGAAUAAUUAACGGGCGGGCAAAGGGGCACUUGAUAAUAGUUGGGCCUCGGACACCUCGGUCCUUACUAAGCCCAUAAGAGAGGACCAGGCCAGAGCCUCAUGGCCACUCAACACACCUGUCCACUUUUCUGGGCGCUGCCCAGGUCUCAGGCUGACAGGACUGACCUAACACGAUCAGGGCCCAAGAUAUCAUAGUCCAGGUUACUCGAUUUGAUGGGUUAGUAGGGCUAUAGACCCCCUAUACAUCCAAGACUAGGCCCAUACAGGCGCUGGAGGAGAUUAAAUAGUCGCCUGACAAUGAAAAAAUGGAGACAUCCGUACAUGCGGCCCUGCAUGAUGAGGACACAUCACUAGAAGACAAAGGAGGAGAGAUAUAGGGAGGAAAGAGAGGAAGCAUAGGGACUAAGCUCACUCACACAUACCAAAACCCUAUCUUCUUCUGAAUCUCAGAUCAUCAAGUGAUUUAUUGUGUUGUUUUCAUUUUUGUAGUGUUGUCCUAUCUAAUUCAUAGGAGUUUUCUGACGGGUGUCGAAUCCGUCAAUUUAAAUUUGUUUCCCUUUUCUUGAUUUAAUAAAAACUUGUAGAUAGGGUGAGUGAGUAUCAAUUCUACAGAAACUUUAAUUCUAUUUAAUUUAGAUGACUAAUUCAAAUAGAAAAGUAGUUUAAUACAAAAAGUAGUUUAAUACAAAAAGUGAGAAGAAUAGAGUUUUUUUAUGAAAGUGGCUUUGCCUUGAGCAAACUAAGAAAAAUAAACUGAAAAGAAAAAAUAAUAAAUAAUGCAAUUGAAAAUUGAGAAACAAAUAAUUAAUUAAAAAUUUCAGCUGAAGGUAAUCAAAUUGAGGUGUUUGGCAAUUGAUGAUUGGUUAGAAAAAAUAAUUCAUGUUAUUAUCUAUUGUUUGGUCAUAGUGGUCAAAUACGCGAAUCCUACCAAUUCUUUCUUGUGAAUAAAUUAAUCCACUUCGCGCUUAAAACGCUUAAAUUAAUUUCUAGUUAACUAACUGUAACAUCCCUAAUAAAAAAAAGUAAUAAAAAAAUAAAAUAAAGAAAUAAUUAAUUAAGUAAUGAACUAAGAAAAAAAAAAGAGAAGAGAAGAAGAAAGAAAAAAAAAGAAAAAUUAAAUUUUAAUAUAAGGACAAGUGGCAAUUUAAAAAAAAAAAAAGAAGAAAAGAAAAAGAAAAAGAAAAGAAGAAAGAAGAAAAGGUUAGCAGAGAACAAAACAAAAAAACCCUUCUUCUAUCUUUCCCAUUUUCUUUCUCCUUCCUGUGCAUAUGAAUAAACUACAUUUCUCCAUCUUUCCUCUUUUACACCAAAAUUGCUUCAAAAUUUCACCUCCAAUUAAUUACCCAUCUUAUCCCAACACCUUUUUAAAGUAAAAUUUGAAGAAAAGAAGAGAAAUCAAGAGAAAAUUUAAGGUUGAAAGAGAGUGAAUAGUAAUCAAGGGUUUGAAAAUUUAAAGGUAUGUUAGGGGUUUUUAUUGUAGGGAUAUUUCUUAUCAUUUUAUGUGAAUAUUUAUGAGAAAUAUUAUAUUAAUUUGAUUUAUUGGUGUAUUUUUUUUCAUGAAGAAGAAGUGGAAGGGAAAGGAAAAGAAAAGGAAAAUUAAGGAAUUUUAAGCUUGAGGAAGAUCUUGGGAAGGUUUGUGCUCAGCUCUAUUUUAAUAAAUUCAAGAAAUUGUUAUUUAUGUUCUAUUUGAAAUUUACUACCCUAGUAGAAAUAGACCAAGUGAACAAUAGUUUAAUUGUAUUUGUAUACUCAAAGUUUGAGAAAUAAUAGAUUUAAUAGAUAGAAAUUUUUAAAAUUAAUAUGUAAUUUAACUAAAAUUUAAGUUAUGGAUAUAAUGAAAUGACUCUAUUUUCUUUGAUAGAAAAAUAAUUUAGUUAGAUAUAGUGACAAUAAAAAAAAUUUAGUAGGCUAAAGAAAAAAAAAAGAAGAGAUAUUAGAUUAAAUGAAAAAAAAAAAAGAAAAUAAAGGAAUAAGAAAAAUGAGACAUAGUGUAAAUAUGAUGUUGAAGAAUAAUAAGAAUAAUAUAAGAUAAAAAUAGGAAUUAAAAAGAAAAAUGAAAUAAGAUAUAUUGUGAUAAAUUGAAAAAAAAAUAGAUAUGAUAUGACAAUGUUUAAAAGCAAUGUUUAAAAGCAGAGUUGUAAUAUGAUAAAAUAUUAUAGUUUGAAGAAUUGACAGUUACACUGUAUUGAUAAUUUUUGCCCCCCUGUUUAAAUGUAUAAAUUAUUCAAAGUCUGGCCCUAGUGAAUUUGGUGGGUAUUGUGAGUUAGUUUAAUGGUGUGGCAUGCCAUAUACAGAUCUUGCUGCACUACAGUUACACUGAUUCUUGGGAUACAAUGAGGUAUCCUACAAUUAUAGAAUCGGCUUUUGAGCCAUACAGUUAUAUGGCACUUUGUGCCCUACAGUUACAGUUUCCUUAUCUGACUUAACAGCCCCAUUUAAAUUUAUAGGAGCCAAUAGAAAAAUAAUAAAUAAAUAAAAGUAUUAAGAGAAAAUAAAACUUUUUACAUGAUGAAGAAAAAGAAAAUGGUUAUGAAAUUAAAAUAUGUAUAUCUAUGUGAAUUAAUAAUAUGAUUUAAAGUAUUUCAAAUUAUUUGUUAUAUAGCUAUUUGUCAUUUGUUUGAAUUACUGUUAUUAAAUGACUUUUGAUUUAAAUGUUUUAUUAAAAAAAACAAAGUUGACCAUCACUAAGCAAAUUACUUAGCGUGUAGAAAUUUAUUUUUCCUCGCGCAGGCUAUAGAUUUAAGGAACAGUAGAGCAAGAUCUGCAUCAGCCCAGUCAGAGUUACAUCAUUGACUAUCCUGGGGUAUAUUUUGUAAAUUUUUAUAUGAAUUUGAUUUUAGAAUAUGACAUGUACAUAAAGUUUUAGAGAUGAAGUUGUAUAUGAUUGGUAUUAGAUAUAUUUUUUAAAUAUUUAAGUUUGAUAUAAAUAUGGAUGAUUAGUAUAAGUUUCUGUAUUAAGAUUAAUGAAAUGUUAUGAAGUGUUUGAUCUGAGUUGAAUCUGUGUUGAUGUUGAAAAAAGUUUGGGGGUUAAGGUUGAAAUUGAUAGAAGUAUAAUAUUACUAUUCACAGGUGGAAUUAAAUCCAUAUAUUAGGGGAAACUCUGUCAGAUUUUCGGUAGAAAAAAAAAACACCAUGAUUUACAUGUUAUAAAAUAAAGGAAAAAUAAGAGAAUUGUUACAGAAUGUAAUGUCUCCAGUUCAAUUAAGUAGUUAACCGGGUAGGGGGUGUUACACUAACAACUCUAACACGCGUGUAGAUUUAAUUAGUCAACUGUACUAAGAGAUAAGAACUCAUACUUUGAUCAAUAAAAAUACGCGAUUUAUUUAAAUUAAAUAUACUAAUUCCUUAACAUAAAUUAAUAUGUUGAUUGCUACCUGUUAUUAAUCUAAUUAAACAAUUAUGGAUCUAAUUGGAUUAAUUAGCAGUAUGUUGUCUUCCUUGGACCCCUUGAAUUUUCAAGAAAACAAUAAUAGAGGUGGUGUUUCUCGAAUUCAGAAAUUAAUAGAAAAUAAAAAUAAAAUAAAAAAAUUGAAGUACAUAACCUCACAACUUGAAUGAAAUCUCAAUGUAAAUUAACUUUCAACUAAAAAUAAUUGUUUAGCCUCUAAGAGUCAUAAUAAAAUUGCAAAAACUAAAGAAAAAAAGAGAAGGAAAAAAAAAAAGAAAAAAAGAAAAGAAGAAGAUGGAAAACAAGAAGAUGGAAAAGAAGAGAGAGGGGGGCAGCACCAAGAGAGGAGGAAGGGGAGAGGAGAAAAUAUGAUAUGCUUAGGUUUAAGUUUAGAAACCUUUAUAUAGAUAAAAAAAGAUAAAAUUUAAUAAUUUAAAAUAAACUCUACUACUCCUAUCUUAUCCCUAUCUUAAUAUGAUUGUGUUUGAUCCAACUUGAAACUGAUAUUAUCCUUACUUAGGUGGCAAAAUCGGGCUGAGGUGGCAAUUUUUGAAUUCUAGAGAUGUCCAUCGUCUUGGGCUACAGGCUUGCCCAAGGCUGUAAUCUUUCAGUCUGAAAAUCUUUUAAUUCAGCCUCUUUUCAUUCCUUUUCUUGACUUCCGCUCAAAAUUUUUUCCAAAAUCAAAUUUCAAUUAAAAAUUAAUUAUUUAUAUCAAAAUUAUAACAAAAUUAUGGAAUUUAAUAAAGAAAAAGUGGUGAGUUUUGCGACUUAUCAGAUUCCUCCACACUUGCACCUUUACUUGUCAUCAAGCAUAGAAAUUCAAAAUAAUAAAAACAAUAAAACACAUUCAUAUCCUCAACCAAUCUGAAAUUUAAUUUAUUCAAAACAAAGAACCAAAUUGUCAUGCAAUAGGAUGAUAGUAAAAAUAACUUAAUUUAACCAAAGUUCACUUUAACAAGUUUUAUGUUUAAAAUGUGUUUCAUAUGACAUAAAGUUGGUCCUCAAUUCAAUUUUAAGCAUAUAAAAUAUUAGAAUAUCAUAUAAUAUUAAAUUGUCUUUUUGAAAGAAUAGAAUCUUAUGAACUCUUGAAUAGACUAAUAAAAUUUAAAGACUUUGAGAAUUAUUUUUUCACUUACUACUGUAUCUUGCCUGAAACCGAUGGAGUAAACGUGAAAUAAAUGGUUACUGAGCUACUUGCUCCAGGUUAUUCAGCUCAGGUGGCUACUAACUCUACUCAUGGUUACCUAAUUAAAAGGCAUGGAGCGAGUUUUAAACGACCCAAAAGGGGUGAUACUCUCCCAAACACCAAUUUUUCUAUACGGAAUCACCUUAAGGGGCCACCAAGUACCACACUACUUGGAUCAUCGGGUUGGUAACUGACUAUGCGGUUGUCAAAGCCGGUCAAAAAUAAUAUUUUUGGUUAUCAACAAUUUUACAACUGUAGAUAGUGGCAAAAGGAUCGAAUCCACAUGAUCAACAAUUUUACAACUGUAGAUAGUGGCAAAAGGAUCGAAUCCACAUGAAAUUGAUACUUACCUAUUUUCUUAUCAAGACCAAGUAAAUAAACUGAAAGUAAAAUAAAAAGGAGUUUUGAGAUUGAUUGAAUUAAACUAAUAUUGAAAGCAAUAAAGUAAAGCAAAUAAUAAAAUAAAGUAAUUCAAAUAUGAGAAAAGCUCUAGUUGAAGAAUUGGAUCCACUUCAGUUGUUGGGAUUGAUCAUUGACACUUAGGUUCCAUUGUUUGAUUCAAUAAAUUAGUUAUGGAGAUGGAAGACGCUUCUCACCGUCAUAUCCCUCCUUGAGCAUAAAUCAAUUAGGGAACGUUAUCUAAUUGAUCACUAAUCAACAAGUUGCCAAGGAACGGUCUUGGGCCUUUAGCAUCUAAUAACUGUCAAUUGUAUUAAGAAAUAGAGAGACAUAAUUCUAGCUACCAAAACGCAUGGUGAUAUUGCUAGAUCAUGCAAUUUUCUUAGUUUUUACACCAAAAGUUACUUAUGUUUGAACAAUCCAAGCAAUUACGGACUUAAAACUAUCCAAACUAACAAAUUAUUACCAUGCAAUCAAGAAUCAAUUGGCCCUAUUGAUCUAAACUACAAAGCAAUAAUGGAAUUAAGCAUGAAAUUGCAUAAAUAUUGAAAAAACAAAAGAUAAACAAUAUAUGUUCAGAUCUCUCAAUCCAUAAAACAACUAAAGUUUCACCUAAUCUUCAACUAGAAAAAAGAGUUUCAACCACUCAUGGCUGAAACAAAACAAAAAAAUAAAGAAAGAAGAAGAGAGGUGGCCAAAUAGUUUUCAAGGAAGACAACAUUGUGUGCCAAAUGUCCAAGGUGAAGAAGAUGUGAUGGGCGGCACUCCUUAUGCUUUUAUAGUGUGGGAGUGUUGCCCUAGAUGAGGUGGAGCCUUCUUUUAAAUUUUGAAUUUUGAAUAUGCAUUUUCUUGAUAUUUGGCUUCUUGAAUAAGGGAAAGACUUCUUGAAGAUUUGAAAUUUGAAUUUCAAAUUACUCUAUUGAAUGUACUUUCCUUAUUUACCACUUUCCUUAUUUAGCACUUUCCUUAUUUAUCUUCACUUCAGCUGCAACUUGACUUGAGCAACAAUCUUGUUCUUCUUUAUCCCCUUUUAGGCAGUUUUAAGAGUAUUUUCACUAAAUUACCUUUUUACACAAUUUUCUGCAAAAUAAGAUCAAAAUUACAAAAUUAGGCAAAAAAAUGUAAAUUAACAUUAAUAACAUCAUGAUAAAAUGGUCUAAAUUUGGACUGAUCAGUAACUAAAUAAUCAAGCAACUAGAGGGUUGGGUCAUAGGAGUGCAUUUAUUUCUAAUUUUUGCUUUUGCUUUUUUCUUUUUCUCUUUUUUUUUCUUUGAUGACACCCCUUAAUUUUCACAUAAAUACAUAGUCUAGAUAAUGUCCUUUAAAUCAUUCUCAACAAAGGGCAACAACUCAUUUAAAAAACAUGCAUUCAUUAUCAAUUAUUUAAAUAAGGAUCAUACUUUAUGAGCUUUCAAAAUAAGUCUUAAAAAUAAAACUAACAAAAUAAAUGAUGAUAAAUUUAUUCUAUUUAAGCUAGCAUACAAAUGGUAUAAGAACUUGAAUUCUAUGAUAAAAGACAUAUGAUUUCUCAUGGCAAGUAAAGAGCUGUAAAAAAAUUAUUUAUUUAUUAUUUUUAUUUGAAUAAAAUGAUGCUAAUACUGAAAAUCAUAAAAAAUUAAAUAUGAGAAACAAUUUAGUAAGCGCAAGUGCUGAGAAUCAUAAAAACAUAUCAAGUGUUUAUAGGUUUGGGCAAGCCUCUAGCUCAAACAGCAAAAUUGCAGAGAAGAAAAAAUUUUCAAAAAAUUUUUCAAAACAUAGAAAAUAUAUAUGUUCUUCUCAUCAAUCACAAAAACACUUCUGUUUUCAUACCAUAUCUUCCCCCACACUUAUUCUUCACAUUGUCCUAAAUUUAGAAAACAUUCAAUCAAACGGGAGAAGUUCACAAAAUAAAAUAAAACUAAGUCAAAGAGAACUUCUGAAAUAGCCCAGCCCAAAUUGACCCAAAUAACUUUUGAACCCACUUUCCACUUGGUCCAAAAUGUUUAAUCCAAGUUAUUUAGUAGAUUUGUGCUAGCUAUUAUAUACAAUUUAAAAUUUUCAUAAUCUGCCGAUGUGGGACAGAAGCCGCAGCGGAAGCAGCUGAUUAAUUGGGUGGUCAUUGACUUUGUGAUAACCCACAUCUUCUCUAGAUAUGGUUUACCCAAAGCCAUAAUUAGUGAUCGAGGGACUCAUUUCUGCAAUAAGAUAGUGGAAACCCUUCUUAAAAAGCACCAUGUUAUUCAUAGAACAUCAACUGCCUACCACCAUCAAACAAAUGGGCUGGCCAAAGUAUCAAAUAGAGAAAUCAAGACCAUCCUAGAGAAGAUAGUUUGCACAAAUUACAAAUACUGGAGUGUGCGUGUAACAGCCCGAAAACCGGUACCCCUCUGUAACGGCCCGAACCAUCACUGGCACUAGGAUUCAGAUCGGCUUAAGGCCGCCGGGACCCGUAGCAAGCCGACUAUACUCUCUGUGUACCUGAUAAAUCCCAUACAUGAUUCAACAUAAACAACAAUCCUGUAAACUCUCCUCAGAGUUACCAAGAUCGACCUGCAUGCACUAUGUCUGAAAACAUAGAACCCACUCACAUAGGGUCAGCAUGUCACAAGUCCGCCUUGGUUCCACUCAUUUCUCAUCAAGAAACGUAAAACAAGAUCCAUGUAUAAAGGGAUGAAUCAUACAUCGCACUAAAGCAAAGACACUAGGGUAAAGCACAAUUCUAUCCAUUAUUUGAUAGUACAGUUCUAUACAUUACAUUACACACUAAUCUUUUAAUUACAUCAUGUCCACUAUUCUAUUACAAACAUACAUUCAGGCAUAUCUUUCCUCUUUACUCUUGCUGACUCUGACUUCCCAUAGCUAUCUCAGAACCUGCAAAACUGGGGUUAAGGGAGUGGGAUGAGCUACUACAGCCCAGUGAGGAGGAACAAUAAAACAGUUCAUUAAUUACAUGCUUUCAUAAAAUGCUUCACAUUACAAACAUAUCAUCUCACGGAUGAACUUGUCACCACUAGCCCUCUACUAUAUACAUAUAAUAAUAUGUCCAACUGUGCCAGGGAGACUAGGUCGUCACCUGGACUUCUCUUCACUGACUGACUCUUACUUGACUUUCUCACAGUACCAGGAGCGACCUGGUAUGGCUAUCUCAUGCCAUAUCUCAUCUGAUCUCAUAGUAUCUCUGCUUAUAUCAAAGGCUAAGGAUCAUCCAACAUUCAUCCACACGAAUAACAUCUUAUGCAAUGCAUCAUAUUCGUGGAUUCUAAUACAACACAACCUAAUACAUAACAUGGCAUUUUAUGAUGCAUGGAUCAUGCUAGAAGCGUGUCAUUUCUCAAUUUUAAACAUCAAGUUUAGUUCCACUCACCUGUAGCCAAUGCUUGGCUAACUCUGGGCCACCUCUAACUCUGAUGCAACUACUACUGCUAAACACCUCGGUUCCUCGGGUCCAAUCCUAUAAUGGAGGACUCAAAUGAGGUACCAAACAUACUCUAUACAACUGAUAAACAAUUCUCCAAAAACCCCCUAAAACAUCCUAGAACAAUCAUGGGAAACAUGCAAAGGAAGGCUGAACAGAGCAUCUUCGGCGGCCGAAUGCUCCCUCCAGAGCCGAACCUCAUGCAUGUUCGGCGGCACCUUCGGCGGCCGAACCUCUCCUCCAGAGCUGAAAGUCCAAACUUUCGGGGAUAAGCUCAAGCAAGCUUAGGCAACCGAAGCCACCUCCUCAGCACGUUCGGCGGCCGAACCUUCCUUCGGCUGUCGAACCUGAGUUCAUCCAGAACUCAGCUUCGUGCAGAACUCACCCUCUCAACCAUCCACACACCCACACAUGCACAGCUCAAUUCCUCAACAUACAUAUACUUUAGUAUAUGCACCAAGGGGUCCAAACACUACCUUAAAACCCCAACAAACACUACAAAACAACACAUAUACAUACUCUCACCAAGAAAACACCAAAAAAAUCCUAAACAUGCAUAGCUACCCAUAAACUCUCUUUUCCCUUCAUAAAACUCAUGUAAAAACAUCAUAAAAACUACGGAUCGACCCUUACCUCUUACAGAACAAAGGCUGGUGUGAUCCAAACGUAAAGCUAGGGAGGAUCUAAGCUCCAAACUCUCCAAAACCUUGCUCAAAGUACAAAUGGAACAAUUGGUACUCACUCUCACCAGACUAUUCCCUUAAAGUGGGAGGUCAAGGGUUCGAGUAGUGGGGGAGGCGACCUAAUUUUCAAAGGGAAAUUUGGGCCAAAUCCACUUGGGGAAGGAUGCAUUCGAUGCGAGAACCCAAGGGGACAAAUCCUGCCAGGAACCCGUGAGGGUGAAUGGAUGUUAAGAGCUGUUCACGACGCCAGUGGAAAGCCCGAGGUGGCGAGAGGGCCAGGCGAGGGAUAGCCCUGGGCCGUGAACGGUAACAGUGCCGGGGUUCACGUCUGGGCUGUUACAUACGGCUGACCGCCUCAGCUUCGGCGGCCAAACCUGCAUGCAAAACCAUGCAAUGUUCGGCGACCGAACUUGGAGUUUCGGGGGCCAAACCUAAGGCACUUUCGGCGGCCGAACAUUACUUUCGGCGGCCGAACAUUACUUUCGACGGCCGAACCCGCACUUUGUUCCCUUGGUCUUUUCUCUUCAAAACUCAAGUCCUUCUCGUCAAAACCUUAAAACACAUAAAAAGAUUUUAGAAAACCUUUCUCUUACCCUUCUAGAAACUUCCGACAUCCUCAAAUGCCAGAUUCCAACGGAAAUUCCGCCGAAAAAUAGGAAUUUCGAUGCCGGCGUCUAGCCAGGUAUUACAGUGCGCCUCAAUAAUGCCUUGUGGGCAUAUAGAACAGCCUAUAAAACGCCCAUAAGAAUGUCCCCAUAUCGGCUGAUCUAUGGAAAAACUUGCCAUCUGCCCGUAGAACUUGAACACAAAGCCUAUUGGGCUGUUAAAAGCUGUAAUCUUGAUGAGAAAGAAGCCGGAUCCCAUAGAAAAUUACAACUUCCAGAACUAGAGGAAAUUCGGCGUGAUGCAUAUGAAGCCUCAUGGUAUUAUAAAGCCAAGACCAAAGCCUUCUAUAAUAAACAUAUCUCUAGAAAACAAUUUCAGAUUGGUGAUAAGGUCUUGCUUUUUGACUCACGAUUUAAAUUGUUUCCAGAAAAGUUACAAUCUAGAUGGAUUGGGACAUUUUUGGUAGAACAUGUCUUUCUCCAUGGAGCUGUGGACAUACGCAGUCCAAAAACAGGCAAGAUUUUCAAGGUUAAUGGGCAGCCCAUCUGAAACCAUUUUAUGAAGGAUUUGUUGUGCACCUUGUGGAAGAGGUUCUCUUGGACCCCCCCUUCCCCAUCUUGUUGAUCAAGGCAAGAUAGUCCAACCCACGAUAAAAAAUCAGGGCGCUACUAGAGGCAGCCUAGCUGAAGCAAUUUGCCCAAAUCACUAGGCAGUUCGACUGAUUGUACCAUAGUCGCAAGCAAUUGGGGCAAGUGAUUUGCCCAAAUUGAUGGCCAAAUUGACAAAAUUGGACCAUCACAAAAAAGUCGCGACAAGGGCCAAUCAAGUAAUUUCAACAAGAAUAUGAUUUGGCCAAGUGAUUUGCCUAAAUCUCUAACCAAAUCACCCUGCCAAGAAGUCAGAGACUCAGCAAUUAAUGAUCAGGGAAGUUCAACUUUCCCAAAUCACUUUAAAUAGUUUUUUUCCCUUUUCCUCAUGCUAUUUCUGUCUGCUUAAUCUCUUCCUUCUUCCCCAAGCUUUCCUCAGCGACGACGACUUCUACCAUGGUCAAAACCAAGAUGGUAGCCACCAUCGGCCCCGGCAUGUGGCAGAAACUAGGUCUGCCUAGACCCAUACACAUCCCCACUGACAGUGACGAGGAGGCCAUCAACAACCUUCCCCCCAUCGCCGAAGACACCGACACAGAGUCAACCGAGGAAAUGGCGACUAUGGCGACUAGGGCUACUACGAUACCCGUCGUCCACACCUAUCGCCGACGAACUAAGGCGUCGAUGAUAACUCCACCGACCAAGACACAGACGGUCGAGGCAGACACCCCUGGAGACGCGACGCUUCCAGAAGAGACCCCCUCCACUAACCACGAACAGAAACAACUGAUGACACCUUUUUCCUCACCACCACCGAGCCCGAAGCGCCGGACAGAAGCCACCACCGGCAUAUCAGACACAACUCCAGUGGGCCACGACCAAGGCGAUUUGCCCAAUGACUUACCCAAACCAACAAACCCCAACCAUGCAACGAAGGCCUUGACCUUCAAUAAGCAGUCUGAACGCUCCAGGUUUGACAAGGUCUCCUCUCUACCCUAUCACCCAAGUAAGUUCCUUCACCAUGACACCCUUCAGGCAUUAGGGAUUCAGGAAUAGGUGAGAUCCCUUAUUGAUAACAUUGGGUGGGGUACAUUCUUUUACCUGCAUAUGCCUGCCUUCAUAGAACUCACCCAUGAGUUCUUCUGCACGUUCUAUUUUGAUAGGGUAGCCCUGACCACCCUUCACAAACCAGACAUUGUGAGUUUUAGAUUGCUAGGAUAGCGAUUCCGCUUGUCCCUACACGAGUUCAGUGCUGCACUGGGAUGUGAAUAUCUUGACUCCAUCUGGAAUUUCCUUGUAGGGUUCAAUCUCAGCACUGCCUACACAAAACUGUGUGACAACCCACCUGACACUUAUUCACCCACCAAAUCAAAGGACCUAUACCUAAGAAACCCUUGCUUAAAGUACCUACACAAGUUCUUAGCCUACACCUUUUAUGGGAGGAAGGAUGCACCAAACAUCCUGACCAAAACUGAGUUGUACAUCCUAUGGAGCUUGUCCACAAAACAAAAAUUUCAUUUGGAAUACCGAGUUGCCACACAGCUCUCAGGCACAAUCACUUACCACUGCCCCUUGAUCCUUGGGCACUUGAUCACUUCCAUUGCAGUUAAUUUAAAAUUAUUGCAUCCUACUUAUAUUGAUCUCACCCCCAUCGGCGAACCAACCCCCUGGACCUACGCACUUUGGAUGAUAUAGGGUUGCUUUGCAAGGUGGGGGGAGUUUUCUCUCUUGCUCCUGCAGGGCCUGUAAUACCACGCAAUGAGCAUGUGUUUAGGAAGAAGGCAGCUAACCAGGAAGCAGCUUCUCAGCCGCCUGCCCUACCAAUAGCACCACAAUAGGCCGCAGACGAGGCACCUGCCGAAGCACCUCAAGACCAUUCAGUGGAGGCUCGUCUGACCAGAAUUGAAGACAAAAUGCAACAUAUGGAAGGCCAGCUGCAACUGCUGGCAGACAACUUCCUGCCCAGAAACCAUCUGCACCAGUGAUUUGGCCACAGAUUUGGGCACGGAUUUGGCCAAAUUACACACUUGGCCAGGAUGUCCCUUCCUCUCUUUCUCUCUUUAUAUGUUUUGCAUUGAGGGUAAUGCUUAGGCUAGGUGUGGGGGUACUGGGGGAAUAUUUUUGCACUAUCUUUUUACUAUCUUUUUGCCCCUUUUUACUAUCCUUUUAACCUGAUACACGAAAUUUUUUUUUAGUUUUCACUUAUUCACACAUAGUUACACACACAUUCCUUUCUGCACAUAUGCACUUACACACAAAUUUUUAUUUUUGCUUUACUCAGCAUAGAUAACAAAGUUAAUAAAGCCUCUUACCUCAUGACCCCAUUAAUUUUCCAACCCUUUAAAACUGAAUUGAAUCAUUUGCAGUGGGUUACCUUCACUUAGGAAGUUUUUCUCUUGAAUUGAAUCUUUAAACUUACUGAGGUCAAGAAAAAUAAAAAUCUAAAAAUGCAUGUAAUGGAAAUGAGCUAGUGCAACACUUUGUGAGUUGAUUUGCCCAAACUGUUAUGAAAAGAAAAAGUAAAACUCAGCAAAGUCAAAAAGCAUAAAACAUAACCUGUUCCAAUGGUCAAGGACUAUGAACAGAGCUAGUAGCCACUUGAACAAGUGACUAACUGAGUAACCGAGAGUGGGUAUCACCAAUAUACACCUUCGCGUAAAAAGGAUGGUGAUUUUUUUAGGCAAUAAUAAAAAGUGUUGCUGAAUAAAAAUGCUUUAAAAGAGGGCAAGUCACUCUUAGGAUUGCAUAAAGCCUAAACUAAAAACUAAAGAAUGAGCAUGAUCAAAUUAAGAAUUUUCUCUUGGGCACGGUAGGUGAAGGGAAACAAGGAAAAAAAAGACAAUCUUAGUGCAUGUACUCUACACUGCAGUGCUUCAAUUUGGGAGUCUAGAGGAGGCUGAUUAAGUGGUAUUUAGGCUCAAAAGAAGGGGGCUUAAUUAACUAAGUUAUUUAUUGCUUGAGAAUAAGCAAAAAGUUAGGUGUGGGCAAAUCAAGCCCUAAAGAAUGACUGAAGCAGCUGCUGGAGGAGGAAGCUAAACACUCAAGACUUGAUAUGCUCAAAACGAUUUGCCCAAAUUGCUGGCCAAAUCACCUGAAGAAAACUGAAGCAGAAACCCAGAAGUGACUCGCAGAAAUGAUUUGGGCAAGUGAUUUGCCCAAAUCACUGCCCAAAUCAACUGACCCCAGCAAGAAAAUACAACAAGUGCGAAAAAGCGAAAAUUCAAAGAUUCAAACGUCUUAGAAUCCUAUCCUACUUCAAAUACACCAAAACCAAUCCUAUGACAACUCUAGGAACCACGCCAAAGAAAGUCCUUCACCAAAAGAGUUUUAUUCAUGUUAAAAUACAAAGACAAAUGAGGAAUCAAAAACCAAUUCAAAAUAGGAUUUCAACUCUAAGAAGGAUUAGGACUCCUCACUUAUAAAAGAGGGCAGCAACCAACAGAAGGGGAUCCACUUUUCGACAGCAACACCAACAAUGCCUCUCUCCUUUUUCUUUUUUCUUUUAUGUGUUCUUUAUCCACCAUGAGUGGCUAAACAUCUCUUUCUCUAAUUGAAGUUGGAGAAAUUUCAGUUUGUUAUGAAUUGGAAGAUCUAAAACUCUGUUGUUAAACUUCUAUUUUUUAAUAUUUAUGCAACUUGUUCGUCAUGUUUAUUAUUGCCUUUCUAUUAAAAUCAAUUAAGGCAUGUUGCAUUUAAUUGUAUAGGUAAUAUAUUGUUAAUUUAAAUAAUUUAGGUCCGUAAUUGCUUAGAUUAUUUGAACACAAGUAACAAUUGAUUGCAUGAUUUAACUUAACCACGCUGUUGGCAAUGUUAGAAUUAGAUUUCUCUAUCUCUUAAUGUAGUUAACAGUUGAAAAGUGAAGAACUCCAAUGAUGUUCCUUAGCAACUUGUUAACUAGAGUUUAAUUAGCGAACGUUUUCUAAUCAAAUUAAAACUGAGGAAUUUGGUUAUGAGAAGCGUAUUCCACAAUCUAAACUAAUUUAUUGAAACAAAUUGAAGAAUCAAAACAUUAAUGAUUAAUUCUAAACUGAAAUGAAUUCUAUAUUUCAAUUAGAGUUCUUCUACUAUUGAUUUAUUCAUCUUUUGUUUAUUAUUUUCUUUUAUUACUUUAAUUAUAGUUUAUUAUCAUAAAAAAUAAAUCCUCUUUUUAUUUUGCUUUUAUUAUUAAUUUGUCUAAGUGAUUGUUAGGAGAGUUGUUAAUAUCAAAUUCAUGUGAUUCAACCCUAUUGCCAAUAUCUACAAGUUCUUUUUAUUAAUUAUUAAUAAAUUUAUUUUUUAUAGUUUUAACCACCGCUAUCAAUUUCACACAUGCGUUUUAAAUGGAAAUCUAUGCACCUUUCUCUUCAGUUUCAUUAAAAAAAAAUUGAGACACAACUUAUAGGAUUUUAAUAUAUCAAUUCUUCAUCCCCUUAUAAAAAAAAUUAAAUAAUUUACUUUGAAAACAUAAAUGCAAAUUUGAUUAUUUUUUGGACAUUUAAUAAAAAUUAAUAAAACUAAUAUAUUAUUUUCUGCGCCAUUUAUUUUCUAUGCAUAUUUUUUCUAAAAUUUAUAAUUAUUUGAAUAAUUAAUAUGUUUUAGAUGAAUUUAUAAUUAAAAUUUUGUCUAUAUUAGAUUAAGUCAAUUAAAUUAGUGUUAAUACCAUAAUAAAAAGGUAAAUUUAGUUUUAGUUAUUUUUAUUAGGAAUUUAAUUUAAUUAUUAAUUUUUAUGUUUAUAUAGUUAUAAAUAAAUAUCAACUAUAGUACCAAUAAUUAUAAAUAAUGUGAUUGAAUUGAGUUUAGCUAAGAAAAUCUAAACAAGACUAGUAUCCCACAAACUACGGAUUAAUAUUGAUGUAACAAGGAAAAGUGGGGAAUAUUGAUGUUGUAAGGGCGGGUCAAAUGUAACAAAGGAAAAGUUGGGAAUAUUGAUGUUGUAAGGGCGGGUUUGCUUGUAACCAACAAUGGUGACGUAUGUAUUGGGUCGCAGGAGUCAGAUUUGAUUUUAGAGCAAUCUCUUUCUUUGUUUUUUUAUCUAUGUCAUCUCACCAUCUAUCUAUUGGUUUAGCCUUUUCUUUCUAGAUUUAUUGUGUUUGCUUUUAAUUUUAUUUUUUUAUUUUAUUUUCAUAUCAAAACUUACAUAUUUAAAAGAUUUUAUUGAUCAAUUAAUAGUGUGGUUUUGGUAAUGAUAAUGAUCGGCAAAUGUACUAUUAUAGUUAUGUACCACGCUUUUAUAUAUUUAAUUUUCUUGAAAUUAUAAGAGAUUGAGAUGCUAGUAAAAUUUCCCACCGCCACCUGGUAUUUCCCUUCCAUAUGUGUUAAGAGGUUUAACCUCUCUGUGGAUUCUCUUUGAAUGCUCUAGAAAUGUUGGUCUUCUAUCAAGAUUCAAGAAUCCUGCUAGAUGAAAUGGUAGCAGGAUGACAGAUUGACCGAUAGUGGUGCGGUGGUUCUACCGCUUCUGAAAAGUUGUAGAUAUGUUUGGAUUGUUCCACACUUUGUAUAUUUUAGUCUUGAGGUCUUUGAGUAAUGCAUUCUAGUGCAUUAGGUGAAAAAAAUGUUUAAUGUUUUAAUCAUUUAAAAUAUAAAAAAUAUUUGUCUAAAUCUAAUUUACUAUUAUCAAAUUAAUUGUAAGAUAUAAAUGAGUGCAUUCUCAUACAAAAAUAAAAUCUAUAUUUUUAUAUAUUAAAAUUAAUUUAGUCUAUUAUAAAUUAGAUAUAUGAAAUGAUUAAAAAGUAUUAAAAAUUAAAAAAAAGUUAGUAUUUCCGAAUCUAGAUGAACCGACUUCUUGGAAAUUACAUUCUAUAUAUGUUUAACCCCAGCAGCAAGAGAAAAGAGAACUCGAUAGAGAAAGAUAAAGAGAGAAACAAGAGAGAUGAAGAAGCAGUGGCAUACGUUGUUGAGAGGAGGGGAAGGAAAGAGAGAACACAAACAUCGUUUGUUUUCGGCAGAAAUGAAGACACUGGCCAGCAUAUGUGAGACUGUGUUGCCUCCAAUUUCUAUUCAGGAAAAUGAAACCCCACCAAGCAAGCCUGUGCAGGACUUCUUUGCAGCUUCUGGAUUUCAGGCCCCUUUGCCUGACGAGGUUAAAACUAAACCUUGUUGAUUUACGUCAGUUCAUUAUGUUGUUUUAUGUUAGUUCGUUAUGUUAAUAGUUUCUCAAACCAUAGAAAUCCUUUUUGUUAUUUUGUUCGGCAAAUAGAUUGCAGAGCUGAUAAGUCAGAGGGGUUUAAUAGAAAUACUGAUAGCAAUGAGACUGGUAUUGUUGAUGCUUUCAACAAAAAUUGGGACAGUUUUGCUUUGUGGAACGCUUUGUUUAAGGAAGAAUUGGCCUUACAUCAACACUUUCUCAGGCAUGUCCUUGACUGACAGAGAAAAAGUAUUGCAGAAAUGGUUCAGACACUGGUUUUUCACACCCAUCAGACUUACCUUCAUCCUCCUCAAGGUGGCCUGCCUUUAUGUCUUCUUCAGUCGGGUAAUCAUUUACUUAUUCCUUACAUAUAUCACUAUUUUAAUUUUUUUUUUAUUAUAGAUAUUGCUUUAAAAAAAGAUACUUCUUAAUUAAGUUUUGGUGGUAUUUUAAACAUACUUUUAUUUUGUAAUUUAUGAUAAGUUUAUUGGCUAAGUAGUUGCCAAAGGUUAUGUCAUAAUAUGAUUGGUACAAAAUAAAGAAAAUUUGAAGCAAUUUUUCCUAAUUGGGUAAUUAGAAGGAAAUAGAAAUUGAAGAAGGUUAAAACAUCAUUAUCAAAGAGGAAAAUGAGAACCAAGUAUUCUUUUCCUUUUCUUUUUUGGCUUGUACCACUUUUUAUUUAAUUUUUUUUCAACCUUUUCUCUUUAAUAAAAGAUUAACCGUUGUUUUCUUUUUAAGUACGUUGUGCUAUUUAUUUGAUAAAAAUAAAAUUAUCUAUCUUUUUGCCAUUUUCCACAAAGUUCUUUGGAUUUAAAAAUAAAAUUUCUACCUAAACUUUUCAAAUAUUUAGGGCUUAAUUUCAAUGAUAUAGAUAAAUGGAAAGAUGGUAGUUCAUUUUUUUAUAAAUAUAUAACAAUUUUCAUUUUUUUUAUUAAAAAAAAGUAAUUAUAAGUUAAAAAAGGACUAAUAUCAUUAUCAUUAGCCUUAUAGUAGUUAAAGACAAAAAUAAUUAAUUUUGCAUACACAAAAGAGAAUAUAUAAUAAUUGAUAAAAACAUAUUCAUUCAUUAAAAAAAUGAAAGUAAUUAUUUUUUUAUUAAUUAAGAAAAUAUAGUUAAUAUAAUUAAAAACAAUAAAUUUUAUAUUAUAUUUUCUAAUAUACCAUUCACUCCGAUUAUUCUAUUAUUAAUUUAUUUUUAAAAUUAAUAAAUUUUAUUAUGAAUGUAUUUAUAAGUUAAUCAAUAAAUUAUUAUAUUAAAAAGGAAAUAUAUUAUAACUACUUAGCCAUUGGUCACAUAGAUAAGUGAUUUACAAAUUGCAAUAACUUAUAUAUUUAAAAAUAAAUAUGUAAAUACAAAUCUAUAGGAAUUAGGCAUUCUUUCUAAUUUAUAAAUUUAAAUAAUUGAAAAGAAAUAAAAGUGAAAUUAAAAAAGAAUUUUUUUUUAGUGAUAAUAUAAAAAAUUUAAAAAGAUAAAAGCAUACAAAAGGCGUUGCUAGUCUAAAAUUACUUAUUUAAUGUUAUAAUAUUGGUAAAGUCAUUUAAAGUGUUUUUUUUUUUUUUUUGCAAAAAUAAAAAUAAAUCUUACAAUUAAAUAGUUAAAUAAACUAAAUUCAAAGGUAGAAAAAUUAAAUAAUUAUAUAAAUUAUGUUUAAGUGGAUGAAAAUUUAAUAAAAAAAUUUUCUAAUAAAAUAAUUAAAUGAGAAUAAAGAAAGCUUGACGGAGUUAAGUGGGAAUAGAUAAAAUAUUUUAAAAUAAAUAUAAAAAUAAUAAUUAUUAAAUUUCAUGAUUUCCUAUAACUAUUAUAAUAACUUAAAUUUUCUUUAAAAAGUAAGUUAAAAAUAUUUUAAAAAUUCAUACAUGGUCCCACUUUAUAACAAGCGGUGGAUCAUAUAGAACAAACACUAAAAGCAAGGUUAAUGUAAAUAGCAAGGAAAUGAAAGAGAGGGUAAAACGGUCUUUUCAUUCUUCCUAUGAACACUACUCUCUUAGUAAUAUAUAAUAAUUAAGAAAAAAAUAAAAUAAUAAGAAAAAGAAUAAAUAUUUUUUUUUCUCAAAGAUACAUUGAUUCAUUGAAAAGGUCCGAUAGAAACCUGAAAAUAUCGCAAUAAGUCCAAAGCAAUAUAUAAACAUUACAAAGAGGAUUUUUAGGGCACAAGAAAUAAAAUUUAAAUUAAUGCUUAGCCCUAAAAACUCAAGAUCUGAUAAUCCGUGUAAAACUCAGAACAGCCAUAUAUAUUAGCUAAAUUAUAAAUUAUUAAAUAAUUUAAAUUAAUAUUAUAUAUAUAAAAUAGAUAAAAUUUUAAUUAUUUAUGUUGAAUUAUUUCAUCUAAUUAUUAUUAUGUAUUCAAUAAAUUUCAAUUAUCAAUGAUGAAAUUUACAUAAAAUUCACUACAAUUAAUUGGUAAAAUUUACAUAAACGCGUUACACUCAUAAUUUUAAGCAAUAAUUUCAAUACUACUAAGCCAAAAGUUUCUUUCUUUCUUUCUUCUUCUUCUUCUUCUUUUUUUUUUUUUUUUGUAGGCGAACGAAGAUGGCGAGAAUCCAGCAUGGGAAGCCAUUGACUAUAGGAUAGAAGAAGAUAUGAGUCCAAAUGAAGGUCCAAAGGAGAGGCCUCUCGAGGAAGGAAUAAUAGAAACUAUGCGUGAAAAUGAUUCAACUCUUCUCCACAACCUUGCCCAAAAAGGCCUCAGAGUUACGAAAUAUCCAAGAAACAACCUGUGCAAAAUCAAUUGUGAUGUUGCCAUUGUUGGCUCUGGCUGUGGCGGGGGUGUUGCUGCCGCUAUGCUUGCAACUUCCGGCCAGAAGGUGGUUGUUCUUGAGAAAGGAAACUAUUUCACUGCUAAGGAUUAUUCUGGUCUGGAAGGCCCUUCCCACAAACAGCUAUAUGAAUCAGGGGGGAUCCUUCCAACUGCUGAUGGGAAAGUGAUGAUUUUGGCAGGAUCAGUAGUUGGAGGAGGCUCUGCCAUUAACUGGUCUGCAUGUCUCAACACACCAAAGCCUGUGCUUAAGGACUGGGCUGAGAAUCAUAAACUUAAGCUUUUUGGAAGCUCUGAGUAUCUUGCUGCCAUGGAUGCUGUCUGUGAGAGAAUUGGAGUUACGGUGAACUGUAAAGAGGAGGGAUUUCAAAAUCAAGUACUUAGAAAAGGGUGUCAGAAACUUGGACUUGAAGUCAAUCCAGUACCUCGAAAUUCCUCGGAGACGCAUUACUGUGGAAGCUGUGGUUACGGUUGUAAACAAGGAGACAAGAAGGGGAUCGAUUCUACAUGGCUGGUUGAUGCUGUUAAACAUGGUGCAGUAAUCAUAACAGGUUGCAAGGCGGAGAGAUUCAUUUUGGAAAAAAACAAGAGUGGAAGUAAAAAGAAAAAGAAAUGCUUGGGAGUGAUGGCAAAAUCAUUGAGCAAUGACAUUCAGAUGAAGUUGCAAAUUGAGGCAAAAGUAACAAUCUCAGCAUGCGGAGCUCUUCUUACGCCUCCUUUAUUGAUCACUAGUGGACUGAAGAAUCCAAACAUCGGUCGAAACCUUCAUCUUCACCCCGUUUUAAUGACCUGGGGUUACUUUCCCGAAUCAAAUGCAGAGUUCAAGGGGAAAUCAUAUGAGGGAGGAAUAAUUACAUCAGUUCAUAAUGUGCUCUCAGAAGACUCUACUGUCAGGGCCAUCAUAGAAAAUCCUCAACUAGGGCCAGCAUCUUUUGCUUCAUUGGCUCCUUGGGAGUCUGGACUUGACAUAAAGACCAGAAUGGUUAGAUACUCAAGAACUGCUCACAUGAUUACAAUAAUCAGGGAUCGGGGGUCUGGUCAAGUUAAGGCGGAAGGAAGGAUAAGUUAUAAUUUAGAUGCAUUAGACAAAGAAAACCUCAAGGCUGGGCUACGACAAUCACUGAGGAUUUUAGUAGCUGCAGGGGCUGUCGAAGUCGGUACACACCGAAGUGAUGGCCAGAGAAUCAAAUGUGAAGGGAUUGGUGAAGAAGAGCUGGAAGAAUUUUUAGACACAGUUUAUGCAGCUGGAGGGCCAUUAACACCAGUACAGGACUGGAUGGUCUAUACUUCAGCCCAUCAAAUGGGGAGCUGCAGGUUGGGGAUUAGUGAAACAGAAGGUGCAGUUGAUGAGAACGGGGAGACUUGGGAAGCAGAAGGCUUAUAUGUUUGUGAUGCAAGUGUUCUUCCGAGUGCCAUCGGAGUGAACCCCAUGAUCACUGUCGAGUCCACAGCUUUCUGUCUCUCAAAGAGAUUAGCCGAGUCUGUUAAGGAGAGAACAGUCUAGCAUUUAGUGAAUCCUCAAACUUUGCACUUAUAUGGUAAUGUUUUCUCCGUUCUAGGCUUUGUGUUUAUAUAGGAUGUCCAAUUCUGAUGUUACCUUUCAGAUGCCUGUGUGUGUGUGUUUGUUUUUUGUUUUUUUUCCCUUCCUUGUCAUGUAAGUUGAAUAAAAAAAUACUCAGUUUGUGAAGGCUUGUGCACUUUUCUUUGAACAUAAGAAUAAGUGAUAAGUAGAAAACGCAAACCAAAAUAUUUUUUGGACUUGAUGUUAGUUAGUGUAUAAUUAGAGCUGCUGGUUGAGGGAUGCUGAGACAUGCAUGCUAUUGACAGAUAAAACUAAAUAAUACUGAUAGAUCAAAAUUCUACUGCUAAAAUUUUCAACUAUUUUUACAUCUGACAUUUGAUCUUCUAUCAAAUUCUUCCAGUUCAUCUAUUCAAGGGAUAAAGGAAAUAAUUGAAUUGAAAUUAGAGUUUCCAAAUUUACAAAACUCAACAUGUUAUUUGAUGCUUUCUUUCUUCAAUAAACUUGGGGGCUGUACAAUUUGAACUUGAUUGAAUCUCUGAAGAAUGAGAAGGAUAAUCACACUAUUUUUUCCUUAUUUGUUGUGGAUCCCAGUCUAAUUAUAGCAGCAAAGUACUGAAAGCGCCUUAAUGUCAGCAUGCUAGGGAGUUUACACAAGAUGAAACUGUCAGGGACUUGUAUUAAAUUUUGUUGAAUAUAAUCCAGCCUUUAGCCAUCUGAAUCUGUCUCUCGGAAAGGUAAGGGAACUGUCUUCACUGCCCUGAACUUGCCAACGUUGUUCAGAUGCUCGUUCUCCAACCUGUUAAAUAAACAAACAAUUAGGUUGAUUCUUUUUUUUCUUUUUACCAUUCUACGAUUCCCAGGGCUAAUAUAUAACCAGGUAUUAACCUGUAGAAGUUCCAAUGGCCUCGCCGAAUAACCUCUAAAGAAGCCAAGAAAAAGUCCAACAUCCUUGACUCAACAAUAUUGAAACGGAACUGCAUCAUAGUCUCCACCCAAACAACUCUCAGAACUAUGUUCAAGGCCUACAAUCCAAUUUUGCACUAUGUUAAGAACUUUAAUGAUUGAAAAAGAUCAAACAGGAUCUACUUGAAAGCAAACUCACAAUGGAAAUGUAGUAGAUGCUCUUGUUCUUUAGAAUCAAGUCGUCUCUUAGCCAUGGGUUCUUGGAUUUUGGGUUGAGAAGGCCCCAAUCCUUGACAAAAUCCCAGUACAACUGAUAAACUGUAGCAACUGCAGAAGAGACCAACACUAUACAAAACCAUAAGUAAUUCUCCUGCCUAGAAUAAGUUAGCCUCGCGCCGGCCGCCACCAUGGCAGAAACAUACUUCCCCAUGUUUUUUAAAUGGUUCACAUCACUUUCAUCAAACCAUCGUCUUGCACACUUCCAUGCAAAACAAAAUUAUUUAGCUGACUAAAAAUUUUGUGUAAGAAAAUUUCCAAUUUCUGUCAAGCGGUUUUACCUGCAUUGCUCGCCAAUAGUAUGGCAGAAACGAAAUGACAUAAGCUAGCUCCAUAUAUAGCCUUCCACUGUUGCAGGUUGCGUAUCUAUGUGUUCGAAAAGUCCCAGCUAGGAGGUAGCAUGCCAUGGAUUCCAAAUGCCUCAUUAGUGGAAUCUGGAAAUGGGAAGUUUACACAAUAAAUGCAAAUGAGGGAAACAGAUCAUCGAUUGAAAGUAUUAAGCAAUUGCAGUAAUUGUAUGAGGAGAAAUCACCUGGCUGGUAAGUUGGUCUGCCAUGAAAAAGUCCACCAUCAGAACCUGCAGGAGUCAUGUAUGUUUCAAAGGUAUUAGAUUUUAUAUAUGUUGAAUGCUGAACAAGAAACAAAAAUUAGGAAGUGAAUGUACUUUAUAAAGUGGAGAGCAGAUAAUGUUGCGAAUAACACGAAUGAAGCAGUAACGCGUUGGGCGAUAGAAGAAAUCAAAUGGGCAGAUGAGCAAGGCCAUGAAAAUCUGAUAAUGCAAUUGGAAAUUAAUUAGCAAAAAUAUUAAAAAUUGAAUUGGAGUUUGUCAUUGAGAAGAAUCAAACAGGGAAAACUUACUAGGAAGAGGACUCCAGGAAUGGCAUCAACAUGGCUUGGCGAAAAGCCACUAGCCCUUAAUAGAAGAUGGAUUAUCAAAGCAGCAACAACAGAGGUCAUUAAAGUGGUACUAAUGAGGAAGGCGUCUCUGUACUUGAGAGCAGUGCUGGGUUGAAAUUCAAAAAUGAAAUUGUAGUUGAUCCUUGUACUCUUCCACAUGAAAAGGUUGCAGCCAUACAUGAACAAAUGCAAGCUUAACAAGGCAAACACACUGCAGGAAAUCAAACCAACCCUUUAGUGCAUCAUUUGCAUGUAAAGAUAAAGCCAUUUAGAAGUUGAAUAUUAUAGACAAUAGAAAAUAAGCGAAGAGUAAAUAAACACCUGAAAACAGGGUAGAUAGUCUCCACAUAUGAUCUUCUAACGUUGGGGCUAAAAAUGCCAGCCAUGUAUGCCAAGAAUGCAUAUACACUAAAGAGAGAGAGGAAACAACCAGUAGAUAAGCCUGCAAAAUGAGCAGACUAUUCCUGAAUAUCAGAAGUUUCUGCUGAAAUUUCAUGUCACGGGGCCAAUCACAAUGAGGUAAUAUUACCUAUAAGAAAGGUGACCAUGUGAGACUCCUUGCGCUGCUGGGGUCUGAGGAACUUCAUUGCCUUUUUCCUGUCAUUGUUGGAGAAGUGCUUUGUGAAUAGGGACUCCACUUCAUCCAUUAGUCUAACAACCUUCCAACCAAAUGCAAAACGUUUUUAACCACUGAAAAUUAAAAUCGUGGUCUGUGAAUUUGCCAGAGAGUUUUGAUUUGGUGAAAGGAUAAGAACCAAAAGCCAUGGCCUUUUAAAUUGGUAUUAAUUAUGGGGAGAUGAAGUCUUACCUUAUCAGAGCUAAUGAAGUGGGAUCUCUUCACUGCUUUUAGAUAACUUGCUGAUGUCUGCUGGUUUGAUACCUGCUUAUUUUCACACACACAAAAAAAAUAUCAAUUAUAAAUUCUCUCUUACCAAAAGAUUUUGGAGUAUAGACUCACAACCUUCCUGUGUGACAUACCAUACAAUUAAUUACCUUGUCAAAUUUCUUGAGUAUUUUGGUAAAAGCCACCAUGUUGAGAGAGCUGCAUUACAGAAAUAGUAAAAAGAUCAGAAUCUGGUCAUAAAGAGUGAAAAAAAUAUAUAUAUUUACGUGGCUUUUUUUACACUUAUUUAGACUGAAAUUCAAACUCGAUACCAGAUGCUGCUCUACAACUAGAUAUUGUGUGAAAACCAAUGUAAUUUAAUUGAAUAUACUGACUAAAAUAAUAAAAAAAACAAAGGUGGUGUGAACUCAUGGCAUAAAAUUCAACAAGUAAUAUCUGGAAUUUUAGGCUUCAGUUGCUUGUGAAAACGGCAUAGCUAGGCUGAGGCACAGGCCAUCACCAACCUUUCAAUAGAUAACGUGAGCCUUACGUGAAAUCCUUCAUGAACUGGCAUGCAUAUCAACUUAUAAUUGUCUAAUUAAAAUGCUUAACUUCAUCGAUGACAUUUGCUAGAAUAAUUAUCUCUAAUUGAAGAUUAAUUAAUUAAGAAUAACGUAACAAUAAUUAACCUGUAAGUUUUUAGGAGUUGAAGGCCUCUAUAGAGCUCCACAAAUCCUCCUCUAAUCAUCUUCUCAGCAUACUGGAUCUUCUUCUUGUUAAUGAGAUGUUGAGGAGCUGCUGCGUUUUGUGGAUUAUUAAACAAAUCUUCCCAGCAGAGCAUUGAAGCAAAUGCUGAGAUUGUUCUUCUUGGUGUUGAAGCAGGGAUGUCGAUUCUCAGGGCCAUUUUUUUAUGAUUCCCUUUCUUUGUUUUCGACCUUGUCGCUGAAUUUAUUAAAUUCACUCCAUUUUUCUCCAGUACUGCGAUUAUUUCAUCAGUUUCUGAGGAUUCUCCAGAGUUGUCAUUUGAUUCCUUGAUGGUCCCUGUACAAUCAGAAUUAGAAACAAAAGUAGUACGUAGUCCACUAGUAAUAAUAGAUUUAUUUGGUUUUUUUUUUCUUAUAUACAAUUGUUCGGAAUAAAACAUAUCUGAGAAAAGAAAUAAA